GUACUUGCUGGACAGACUGCUGCCACACUGGCUGGCUAGGUCGCUCUGUGUAGCACAUGCAUUUCUGGUGCCCUCAGAGGUCUUUGUGCUAUAGGAUGGAAAGUGGUCCUUCUCUUCAAGGGUUAAAUUAAAUACAGAGACAAAACAAACAGGAACAUAUGGGCCAGCAUAGCAUGCUCAUGGUUGUGCUGGCCAGGACAGCAGAUGGACACCGCGAAUGCAGUGCCCCCUCCUCCUCUCCAGGCAAGCUUUUCUAAAGGUGACGUCAUUGUGAGCGCCACAUAUGAGAACCACCUUGGAUACUGUGACCAGAACUAAGCAUAGCACUCCUGUGGAACUCAAUGGAUAUAUCCAAGGAAAACAAGAGCCAUGAACUUUCCAGUCCUCAAAACUAAACAAAAUUGCAGGAGAGCACCAAGAGGAAUAAGAAGGUUCACUUCAAAGAUGGCUCUGGUCACUACUGGCCAGUUUCACAUUAUCACCCAAGCAUUAACUGUGUCUUUUGAUUCCUGUCCUUGGAUAAAGUCAAGAUGUGACAAAC
rnacentral:lncRNA from 1 species